rnacentral:lncRNA from 1 species
AAAAAAUUAAUGUUUUAGGAGCAUAUAUUUAUAUUUUUUCAAGUGCAUGUAUACAUAUUUCAUAUAUUAGAAUAUUCGUAACUACAUAAUAAAAAAACACAUUUUUACUUACUAAUCUAUAAGCAUAAUAGUACAAGUAUUUUAUUCGAUAGAAAAUAAAAUAUAAAAAACUGAAAAUGCUACAAAAUUUAAAAUCGCUUUCAUGUCUUCGUGUUCAGAUUUCUAUAUUUUCUUCAAUUUUAUCACUUUUCACCUCUUCAAUAUUUUCCCAAAAUUCUUCCAAAUCUAUAAGAAAAAAAAAAUCAUUAAUGCAAGAACAUUCACAAAAAUACAUACGUAUAACUCAUGUAAGAUUCACAUGUGAUUGUAUAUUUUAAGAUUCACUUGUGAUUGUAUCGUUAAGAUUUAAGUGUGAAACAUACACGAAAAAUUAAAAAGAUAAUUAACGAAGAACGCUCACACAAAAAGCAUAUGUACAUAUAAACGUAAUUUAUAUGUGAUUCACUUGUGAUUUAUAUGUAAAUCACAUGUAAUUCAUAUGUGAUUCACUUGUGAUUUUCAUGUGAAUUACAUGUGAUUCAUAUGUGAGUUACAUGUGAAUCACAAGUGAAUUACAUGUGAUUCAUAUGUGAAUUACAUGUGAAUCACAUGUAAUUCAUAUGUGACUCACUUGUGAUUUACAUGUGAAUUAGAUGUGAUUUAUAUGUGAGUUACAUGUGAUUUACACGUGAAUCUCAUGUGAUUCAUAUGUGAAUUACAUGUAAAUCACAUAUAAUUCAUAUGUGAUUCACUUGUGAUUUACAUGUGAAUUACAUGUGAUUUAUAUGAGAAUUACAUGUGAAUCACAUGUGAUUUACCUGUAAAUCACAUGUAAUUCAUAUGUAAUUCAUAUGUGAUUCACUGGUGAUUUACAUGUGAUUCAUAUGUGAAUCACAUAUGAUUUACAUGUGAAGUACAUGAUAUUAAAAAAUUACAUGUGAUUCAUAUGUGAAUCACAUAUGAUUUACAUGUGAAUCACAUGUAAUUCAUAUGUGAAUUACAUGGUUAAUUACCAUAUGAUGGUUAAUGAAUUACAAGGACUUCGGUUGAAUAUGGAUUUUGGAGCAAUUCCAAGGCUAAAAUUGGAAGUUAUGGAGUUGCAGAUAGGAUCAUACUGGUUCCAUAUUCCAUAAAUUUUACCAAAGGUUGAAUAUGUUUUCCAUUUUACAAGUAUAAUAGUUAGUUUGCAACAAAAUCAUUAGUAUAAGAUUGAUGGUGAGCAUGGAAUAUUUAUACAAAUUCAACAAAAAUAAUCAGCCAAAUGAAUUGUACAACAAAAACCAAAAACUUUACUCCUCGACCUCUUCAUUUUCAUUUAUUAGAUAACCAAAUCGCAUAUAUUGGGCCUUAAUUCUACAAACUAAAGCAAUUUCAUCUCAUAACUUUAGUUGAUCCAAACACAAAUUGAAAUCAAUAAAUAAAAAAGGCGUAAGAGAAACAGAAUCUUGCGUACCCUAAUUUUCCGAAGAUCUCUUCGCAUGUAGUAGGAUUUACUUGCAAUCUGAUGCUAGUAAUAUGUCGUCAAGAAAAAGGUAGAUCAUAUGGAACAGUUGAAAGCUACGACCAUCAUCAAGGAUCGAUUUGGAUUAAAGUUCUAUGAAAUUCGGAUCGAUGUGCAGGAGAGAGAUCUCCGGUGAUGAAGGAGCGAAGACCAGAGGAAGAAUAGUGAAAACCUAUAGAGUAGUCUGGUGUGAUUGAUCGGAGUGGAAGGAGUCUGAUGAUAGCCAUGUAUCUGAUAAAACGAUCUUCGAUUUUUCUUUCUUGGUUACAUUAAAGGCGGAUGCGCAAUAUAUUAAAGCCAUUGGAGAAAGAUCAAAGCCAUCAGAGAAAAAUCAGGUACAUCAUCGGAGAUCAUAAAUCCGUCGUCAAAGAAGCAAGAUGAAGUGGAGAAUUAGAGAGAAGUUGCAUUUGAUGUGAAUCUAAGAGAUUUAAUUUGGGGAAAUAUAUUAAUUAAUUUAUCCCUAAAAUGCCCCUUGUCUAAUUUCAUAAGAUACCCACCGUGUCCGAUUUUUUUUAAUUAUUUACAAAAAUAUCAUCAUACAUCUUAACCUUUUAUUAUUUUGAUCUAACGGCUAUUGUUCAGUUCUCACGUUCUCUGGAAACUAUGAUUUCUCAAAUGAUCCUUCCUGUCUUUUCUCUCUCUCUCUCUCUCUCUCUCUCUAUAUAUAUAUANNNNNNNNNNNNNNNNNNNNNNNNNNNNNNNNNNNNNNNNNNNNNNNNNNNNNNNNNNNNNNNNNNNNNNNNNNNCGGAAUAAGAAAUACUUCUAAUCAUGCUUGAAUAAUAUGACUAGCUUGAUUGUUUAAACAAAAAAUUAUUUUAACAAACAUCUCAAAUCUUGUGGAAUUAAUUGUUAUACAAAUUCGAAAUGAAAUAAUCAUAGUAAAUAACCAAAAUAUUUGUAGGAGAAAAUGAAUUCAAAAGUAUAAUAACAAGAAUUUAAUAAAGUACUUUUUAAAUAGUACCUUCUUUGAGUAGACUUGGAAUACAAUCCGUACAAGCAUUUUGAGAACGGAUGAUCUGGAAAUCUAGAGACUUUGAACAUCGAGAGGUAGAUAGAGAAAUAGUAGGAUUUUUUCUAGGCAUGAACUAUGCAUUUGAGAGAGUGAAAAUUUUCGAAUGAGUUAAACUAAAAACUUUAACUCAAUUUAUAGAAGAUUUUUG